AGGUCUUAGGAAUUAAUAUGAGGCUGAUGGUUGUCCUUUGAGGUCCAUAUUUGGAGACAAAUGGCACUAUUCAUUGUCCAGUGUGAAUGAUGACACUGGAGAUGAAUGUGCUAUGUAUAAUAAUGACCAGCAUCUGUGAUUCAUGGAUUAGUUUGGCAAAACCGGUAAAUGUGGCAUGGAAACUUACAAGGUGAAGGAACAGAGUUCUCACAUCUUCUACUCUGCCCAGAUUACAUUGGGAUUGUUGUACUGGUUUUCAACAUUUUUGCAAGGACACAGGAAUUGAAAAGUGCCCGGAAGGAUCCACAAGCGGAAGAGGAAUUCUGAGCUGCAAUGGGGAAAAAUAAGAGAAAUGAAUGGACAUUUCAGGGCAAUAACUUACAGCUCAACGAAGAACCUUCCAAUGUCAUGUCUGUCCAAAACCAGAGCAGGCUGUCUUGUGAACUAAUGAGUUCUUUGUCACUGAAUAUUUUCAUGUGGAAGUGAGAUGGUCCUCAAGGAUCCUACGGAAAGGUGUCCUGGAUUCAGUAGGGGUUUGUAUGAGAUGGGCUCCAACUUGUCUUUCCAGCUUCAAGGCUCCAUAAUUCUAAGUGGAAAAAUAGGAAGUGGCGAUGCUAAUUUUAGGAUUGAUAGAUGAAUGAGAAGCUCCACCUCAGAAUUUCUCUUUUCAGGCAUCCUAACGUGUCCCCAGAAAGUUUCUAGUCAAAUUGUCUUACAGAGAUAAAAUGGAGAAUAAAAUUGAGCAAGUGGGUUUUCCUUGGAUUUGC
rnacentral:lncRNA from 1 species